rnacentral:rRNA from 1 species
GCUUAACACAUGCAAGUCGAGCGGGCCCUUCGGGGUCAGCGGCGGACGGGUGAGUAACGCGUGGGAACGUGCCCUCUGGUCUGGAAUAACUCAGGGAAACUUGAGCUAAUACCGGAUACGCCCUUUUGGGGAAAGGCUUGCUGCCGGAGGAUCGGCCCGCGUCUGAUUAGCUAGUUGGUGGGGUAACGGCCUACCAAGGCGACGAUCAGUAGCUGGUCUGAGAGGAUGAUCAGCCACACUGGGACUGAGACACGGCCCAGACUCCUACGGGAGGCAGCAGUGGGGAAUAUUGGACAAUGGGCGCAAGCCUGAUCCAGCCAUGCCGCGUGAGUGAUGAAGGCCUUAGGGUUGUAAAGCUCUUUUAUCCGGGACGAUAAUGACGGUACCGGAGGAAUAAGCCCCGGCUAACUUCGUGCCAGCAGCCGCGGUAAUACGAAGGGGGCUAGCGUUGCUCGGAAUCACUGGGCGUAAAGGGCGCGUAGGCGGCGUUUUAAGUCGGGGGUGAAAGCCUGUGGCUCAACCACAGAAUGGCCUUCGAUACUGGGACGCUUGAGUAUGGUAGAGGUCGGUGGAACUGCGAGUG